CCAGCUCCAAUAGCGUAUAUUAAAGUUGUUGCAGUUAAAAAGCUCGUAGUUGGACUUCGGGCUAGGGCGAGCCGGUGGCAACACUAGGCUAACCCUGGCCUUUCACUCUGGGGACCACGUCACUUUUAACUAAGGGGCGCUGGGACGCAGGUCGUUUACUUUGAAAAAAUCAGAGUGUUCAAAGCAGGCAUUUGCUUGAAUACAUUAGCAUGGAAUAAUGAAAUAGGACUUUGGUUCUAUUUUGUUGGUUUAUGGGACCGAAGUAAUGAUUAAUAGGGACAGUUGGGGGCGUUUGUAUUCCGUUGUCAGAGGUGAAAUUCUUGGAUUUACGGAAGACAAACAACUGCGAAAGCAUUCGCCAAGGAUGUUUUCGUUAAUCAAGAACGAAAGUUAGGGGAUCGAAGACGAUCAGAUACCGUCGUAGUCUUAACUAUAAACUAUGCCGACUAGGGAUCAGCGGCUGUCUUCAAGACGCCGUUGGCACCUUGUGAGAAAUCAAAGUCCUUGGGUUCCGGGGGGAGUAUGGUCGCAAGGCUGAAACUUAAAGGAAUUGACGGAAGGGCACCACCAGGAGUGGAGCCUGCGGCUUAAUUCGACUCAAC
rnacentral:rRNA from 1 species